rnacentral:rRNA from 1 species
UGUUUACCAAAAACAUCGCCUCUUGAAAAUAAAACAUAAGAGGUCCUGCCUGCCCAGUGACCACGUGUUCAACGGCCGCGGUAUUUUAACCGUGCAAAGGUAGCGCAAUCACUUGUCCCUUAAAUGGGGACCUGUAUGAAUGGCACGACGAGGGCUUGACUGUCUCCUCUCUCCAGUCAAUGAAAUUGAUCUCCCCGUGCAGAAGCGGGGAUAUUAUCAUAAGACGAGAAGACCCUAUGAAGCUUUAGACGCCACGACAGAUUAUGUUAAACAACCCUUUUAAAGGAACAAACCUAGUAACCCCUGUCCAAAUGUCUUUGGUUGGGGCGACCGCGGGGAAAUAAAUAACCCCCAUGUGGACUGAGAGAACUAACUCUCUUACAACCCAGAGCUACAGCUCUAAGUAACAAAAUUUUUGACCUAUAGGAUCCGGCAGUGCCGAUCAACGAACCGAGUUACUCUAGGGAUAACAGCGCAAUCCCCUUUUAGAGUCCUAUCGACAAGGGGGUUUACGACCUCGAUGUUGGAUCAGGACAUNCUAAUGGUGCAGCCGCUAUUAANGGUUCGUUUGKUCAACGAUUAAAGUCCUACCUGAUCUGA